AUGAAGAGAACAAGCGCGUCUGGCCAAAAAAGGACCUGGCAGCAAGUACAAGAACAUUUUGCAGGCUGCAUUGAAAAAAAAAAGGCUCAUAUAUCUGGCACGGGGGGUGGCCCUCCAACCCAAGACUUGACCACAGCAGAGGAGCUGGCCCUGGAGUUGAAUAAAGGCCCAGCAAGAGAGACUGGCCUCUUCAUACAAGGCUUGGCACGUCCUGUCAAAACUAUCAAUACAAGUUCUGUUGAAUAUGGCAGAGGGAAGGCACAUCUGCCGAUGAUGAGAUCGUGUCACUGGACUCCAGAAGGCUUGAGGUGUCAUGUCAAUUUUGUGUAAAGAAGAUAUUUUGAAGAUUGCUGGUAAUCAAACAGUUGGUGGCUCCUACUGACUUCCAUAGUAUUUUUUUUUCCUCUUUUAUGUUCAACAUAAGAAAGCAACUCAUACAGGUUUGGAUAGAACUUCAAAAGAAGAAUCAGAUGAUCCAGAACAUAUAAAGGUAUUUUGUUGUUUACUAAAAAUAUUUAUAAGGUUGUUGCCAUCCUCAAGAGUAGAACCAUUUUCAAAAUAUAUUUUAUUAUUCCUUUAUUCGAGUUGAAAGAGACUAACAAAUGGAACAUUUAUUUAGAAUAAGCCUAUAUAUACACUACAUAUUGACCUCGUCAUGGACUUAAAUGAAACCACAUUUGCAACUUCAUCAGCCAUUUCUUAUAAUCUCAACAACUGCAAUAAUAUAUGCAUUCAUCAAACCUCUAACAGCAAUAUGAACAUUCUUCAUAACAACACUAAAAUAGGGAUACUUAGAUGAAUGACAUUAUAUGUUGUAUUUUAAUGCAUUAUAAUUAAAAUGAUGCAACAUUUGCAGAAGACCAUGGAGUGACUGUAAAACAUUAAUUUCUAGAAGGAUUGACAGCAGAACUAACAGAUAAAUCACUAAGAUUAAUCUUAGCCUGGUUGUUAGCCUGCUCCGGAGCAGGCUAGCUGCAAAGUGUAAAUCUCCAUAGUAACUUAUUGUAGAUUAAUUUAGCCUCCCUUCAUGCAACCGAGUCAGGGCUAAAUUCAGCCAGGAUAACUGGAAAAUCCCA
ensembl:lncRNA